GACGAACGCUGGCGGCGUGCUUAACACAUGCAAGUCGAACGGUAACGGGCCUUCGGGUGCCGACGAGUGGCGAACGGGUGAGUAAUGCAUCGGAACGUACCUUUCAGUGGGGGAUAACGUAGCGAAAGUUACGCUAAUACCGCAUAUUCUGUGAGCAGGAAAGCAGGGGAUCGCAAGACCUUGCGCUGAUUGAGCGGCCGAUGUCAGAUUAGCUAGUUGGUGAGGUAAAGGCUCACCAAGGCGACGAUCUGUAGCGGGUCUGAGAGGAUGAUCCGCCACACUGGAACUGAGACACGGUCCAGACUCCUACGGGAGGCAGCAGUGGGGAAUUUUGGACAAUGGGGGCAACCCUGAUCCAGCCAUGCCGCGUGAGUGAAGAAGGCCUUCGGGUUGUAAAGCUCUUUCGGCCGGGAAGAAAUCGUAUGGGCUAAUACCCUGUGCGGAUGACGGUACCGGCAUAAGAAGCACCGGCUAACUACGUG
rnacentral:rRNA from 1 species